UGGGAGAUGAAAAUGAUGCAAGCGGGUGUAAUAUGCGGUCCAAUAGAGAGGUCAUCAGCUUCUAAGCCGGCACCUGGUGGUCCUAUCACUCCAGUACACGACCUUAAUGUACCUUAUGAAGGGACUGAGGAGUAUGAGACUCCUACUGCUGAGAUACUCUUCCCUCCCACACCACUUCAAACCCCCAUUCCAACACCACUGCCAGGAAGUGUGCAAACACCUUUACCAGGAAACUUGCAGACACCUUUACCAGGAAAUAUGCAGACACCAAGUGUGGACAACUCCUCUAUGUAUAACGUUCCUACUGGACCUACUAGUGAGUAUCCCACCCCUGUAAGCGAUACUGGUGGCAGCAUCGAGGCAAAGUCUGGGAGGCCUAGCCCUUACAUGCAACCUCCUUCUCCUUGGAUGAAUCAGAGACCUCCUCUUGAUGUUAACAUUGCUUAUGUGGAAGGGCAGAAUGAGACAGACAGAGUAGCCUCUCAGCAACCGCGAACGCAGGAUUUCUUCAUGAUGUCUUCUGGAAAACGCAAGCGUGAAGAUUUUGGUACACAAUAUAACAAUGGUGAAUUCAUACCCCAGCAGGAUGGAGCUGGGGAUGCUCCCUAUGAGGCUUUGCAGGCAAGCCAAGGGAAUGGUGCCCUUGGUAGACAUGACAUGAUCACCAAUGCAAAUAUAUCGAUCUUAUCGCAUGCAACAAGGCAGGCUUUGAAGAUUCCUCAACUGGAUGGGCCCAUACCUGAUCCUUAUGAUGAUGUGCUUUCAACUCCCAAUAUAUACAAUUAUCAGGGAGUUGUUAAUGAAGAUUACAACAUUGCGAACACGCCAGCUCCUAAUGACCUACAAGCAGGCACUCCUGCUGUUGCUACUCAAAAUGAUGCUGGAGAUGAUGACGAUGAUGAUGAGCCGCUGAAUGAAGACGAUGAUGAUGAUGAUGAUUUGGAUGAUGUGGAGCAAGGAGAGGAUAUGAACACACAGCAUUUGGUUUUGGCCCAAUUUGACAAGGUUACUCGUACCAAGAGCAGGUGGAAAUGCACGCUCAAGGAUGGCAUC
rnacentral:misc_RNA from 1 species